CCUUCGAGAAGCCUCCACGGAAAAUGGAAAAUUGCAAUUAACAUUUCUUUUAUGGUUAUUUUGAGGGUUUUUUUUUUUUAAUAUUAACUAUUUUUUAUCAAAUUCAAAAUAAAUUAAUUAUAAAAUUCUCCUCUCAGAUUACCGUACAUUAUUUUUCCAAAUAGAACAAUAUAUAUAUUAAAAACAUCGAAAGCAAAAUUCAUUUCUCUGGCUGUCCCGUUGAAACCAUCUAAGACCUGAAAACAUGUCGUUCGACGCCAGCGUCCACGGUGGCGGCGGCGACGCUAACACCGACGGCGCGACCAACAAGCCUUUCUUUUGCUACCAAUGUAACCGUACCGUCACCGUAACAAUCUACCCUUCCGCUGACCCUUCUUGUCCUCUAUGCAACGAAGGGUUCCUCGAAGAAUACGAAAACCCUAGCUUUGAAAACCCGAAUCCGAACUCAAACCCGUUAUCCGAACCCUUUUUGUCGGUAUCGGAUCCGUUCUCUUCCUUGCUCCCGCUCCUUUUCCCUUCCUCUUCUUCAACGACGAGUUCUUCGCCGUCUCCUGCUUCAAUUGACCUUCAUAACCCUAACUUAUUCGGGUCGACCCGGUCAGGCCGGGGUGACCCAUUCGCUUUCGAUCCAUUUACCUUCAUCCAAAACCAUCUCAACGAUCUCCGUUCAAGAGGAGCCCAAAUCGAAUUCGUGAUCCAGAAUAAUCCGUCCGAGCCGGGUUUUCGGCUUCCAGCGAACAUUGGGGAUUAUUUCAUCGGACCGGGCCUCGAACAACUGAUCCAGCAACUGGCUGAGAACGAUCCGAACCGGUAUGGGACCCCACCAGCAUCGAAAUCGGCCAUCGACGCGCUGCCUUCGGUGAAGAUAGCGAAGAAUAACUUGAAUUCGGAGUUCAACCAGUGCGCGGUUUGUAUGGACGAGUUCGAGCAAGGGGCUGAAGCGAAGCAAAUGCCCUGUAAGCAUCUUUAUCACAAGGACUGCAUACUUCCGUGGCUGGAAUUGCAUAAUUCCUGCCCUGUUUGUCGUCACGAGCUGCCUACCGAUGAUCCUGAUUAUGAGAGGAGGGUUCGUGGGGCGCAGGCUACUGGUGGAGGUAAUGACGGCGAUAGUAGUGGCGGUGAUAAUGAGCAGAGGUCGGGGGAUAAUCGGACGGCGGAGAGGAGUUUUAGGAUAUCGCUGCCCUGGCCGUUUCGGGCUCGUGGGUCGGGUUCAGGAUCAGGAUCAGGUGAUAAUCCGCAGACCAGGCAAGAAGAUUUGGAUUGAAAACUGCUUAAGGUGGUGGGAACUAAUCUUACAUAAAGAUUGAAUAGUAAGCUGGAGUUUUCGGUAAAGUGAAAUUCACAGGGGCAUUGAAAGAUGGGGUAGCUGAAUCAAGACAUGUUUUCUGAAAUAUUUUGAAGAACAGAAAAUUCCUUGAAGUGCUGCAAAAUAUCAGGCAUUUCUAUCAUGAGACGUGGUAAUAGAUCGACCUCUUUGGAUGUCUGGAAAGCGGGGUAUGUUUUAAAUUAAACAUGGAGAACUAAGAUUAGAGUGGUUACAUUUUAAGAAAAUAUUAGUUUUUGCCAUUUGCUGGUAUUAUAUGUAUAUCUGAAUUCGCUUUGUUUGUUGCAUGUGGGAUUCAAUUAGACUUCCAUACAUUGUUUGUUGUAUAGAUUCUUUGGUCCUUUUGCUCAAAUUUGCAAACUACUAGAGUGUGAAAAUGAACAAAAGGUUCCAAAGUAAUGUAGAAAGACAACAUGCAUGUAGCAUAUGUUUCAAUGUAGAGAAUAAUAAUUUUCAAUCAUUAAAUAUAUAUUUUAAAA